rnacentral:rRNA from 1 species
AACGAACGCUGGCGGCAGGCCUAACACAUGCAAGUCGAGCGCCCCGCAAGGGGAGCGGCGGACGGGUGAGUAACGCGUGGGAACGUGCCUCUUGCUACGGAAUAGCCUCGGGAAACUGGGAGUAAUACCGUAUGUGCCCUUCGGGGGAAAGAUUUAUCGGCAAGAGAUCGGCCCGCGUUGGAUUAGGUAGUUGGUGGGGUAAUGGCCUACCAAGCCGACGAUCCAUAGCUGGUUUGAGAGGAUGAUCAGCCACACUGGGACUGAGACACGGCCCAGACUCCUACGGGAGGCAGCAGUGGGGAAUCUUAGACAAUGGGCGCAAGCCUGAUCUAGCCAUGCCGCGUGAGUGAUGAAGGCCUUAGGGUUGUAAAGCUCUUUUACCAGGGAUGAUAAUGACAGUACCUGGAGAAUAAGCUCCGGCUAACUCCGUGCCAGCCGCCGCCGUAA